GAACGCUGGCGGCGUGCCUAAUACAUGCAAGUCGAACGGUCUUUCUAUGGAAGCUUGCUUCCACUGAGAAGAUAGUGGCGAACGGGUGAGUAACACGUGGGUAACCUGCCCAUAAGAGGGGGGACAACAUCCGGAAACGGGUGCUAAUACCGCAUAGUUUUCUUGAUCGCAUGAUCGGAAAGGAAAGACGGCCUUUGUGCUGUCGCUUAUGGAUGGACCCGCGGCGUAUUAGUUAGUUGGUGAGGUAACGGCUCACCAAGACGAUGAUACGUAGCCGACCUGAGAGGGUGAUCGGCCACAUUGGGACUGAGACACGGCCCAAACUCCUACGGGAGGCAGCAGUAGGGAAUCUUCCGCAAUGGACGAAAGUCUGACGGAGCAACGCCGCGUGAGUGAAGAAAGGUUUUCGGAUCGUAAAACUCUGUUGUCAGAGAAGAACAAGUUGGAGAGUAACUGCUCCAGCCUUGACGGUAUCUGACCAGAAAGCCACGGCUAACUACGUGCCAGCAGCGGC
rnacentral:rRNA from 1 species